AUACUUACUUGGCAGGUGGAGAUGUUGUCCUCACAAAGGUGGUCUUCCCAGGAUGCGGCUCAUCCAUUGUGCUCCAAUGUGCGGAGCCCUGUGAUUUCCCCAAAUGUGAGAAACCUGGCUGCAUAACCUGUGCAAGUGGGGGACUGUGGUCGCGCUUUUCCCUG
ensembl:snRNA U1 U1 spliceosomal RNA